AGUGAACGCUGGCGGUAGGCCUAACACAUGCAAGUCGAACGGCAGCACAGUAAGAGCUUGCUCUUACGGGUGGCGAGUGGCGGACGGGUGAGGAAUACAUCGGAAUCUACUUUUUCGUGGGGGAUAACGUAGGGAAACUUACGCUAAUACCGCAUACGACCUACGGGUGAAAGCAGGGGAUCUUCGGACCUUGCGCGAUUGAAUGAGCCGAUGUCGGAUUAGCUAGUUGGCGGGGUAAAGGCCCACCAAGGCGACGAUCCGUAGCUGGUCUGAGAGGAUGAUCAGCCACACUGGAACUGAGACACGGUCCAGACUCCUACGGGAGGCAGCAGUGGGGAAUAUUGGACAAUGAGCGCAAGCCUGAUCCAGCCAUACCGCGUGGGUGAAGAAGGCCUUCGGGUUGUAAAGCCCUUUUGUUGGGAAAGAAAAGCAGCAGGUUAAUACCCCGCUGUUCUGACGGUACCCAAAGAAUAAGCACCGGCUAACUUCGU
rnacentral:rRNA from 1 species